UACGUAGGCAGCGAGCGUUGUUCGGAGUUACUGGGCGUAAAGGGUGUGUAGGCGGUUUCUUAAGUUUGGUGUGAAAUCUCCCGGCUUAACUGGGAGGGUGCGCCGAAUACUGAGAGGCUCGAGUGCGGGAGAGGAGAGUGGAAUUCCUGGUGUAGCGGUGAAAUGCGUAGAUAUCAGGAGGAACACCUGUGGCGAAAGCGGCUCACUGGACCAUAACUGACGCUGAUGCACGAAAGCUAGGGGAGCAAACGGG
rnacentral:rRNA from 1 species